CAGGAAGCUUCACACUAAGAAAGGAGAAAAAAAGCAGCAUUAGAAGAAGGGUGAAAAUAGAAAGUCUGGAAAGUCUCUUCUCAAGACCAAUCUGCCAAUCGCAAGAUAUCCGAAAGUGAGGCACCUACCGAAAAGGCCUAAGAAGCCGCCACCUCGCGUAUUGAUUGCACACCGAACGAGGGGCUCAUCUCAGCAAGGAAUAGGAUCCAAGGAACCCAUCUUGCGAACAUUGUAACCGACACGGCUUUAUGAGGGCUCAUGCAGUAGACAAGCAAUUGUCUGGUAGGUGACCGUCGAGGAGGUGAGCUCAAUAUACCAACGCAAGGCUGAAACCAUGCACAACUGCGAAUCGGAAACGAAAAGGAAUAGAAAAACCAAGAACACGUCAUCUGCCAGGUAUUUUGUCCUUAAGAGGGGGC